GAAAUUACUGUCUUUGCUAUUUUGCUAGAACACGUUUCCCUUGAUUGUUGUUCGCUGGAGACAGAUUCGCAGAUGUAACAAAGAAGGGCUGAAGAUAUGAAUGCAAAGAGUAUUUUUUGUGGUUUUUGCAUUUGCUUUUUUUCAAACUUUGGAGAAAAAGCCAGUAGAAACAUGACCCCCAGGAUCACAGAGCCACCCAAAAAUAUUAGUGUGCAGGUAGAACCAGACUCACAAAUAGAUCUACGGUGCUCUGCUGUGCAUGUAUUUAACACUUCUAAAGAAGGUACAAUUAUUUAUUGGUUGAUCAAUGAGCAGUUCCCAGACAUGUAUGAUAAUACCCUGGAAAGUAA